AUAAAAAGAGAGAAUUUGAAGAAGAAAUAAGUAAAACUGAUUGAUAAGAGUGUGCAGAAUCGACUAAGUAUUUGGGUAAGGCUGGGCAUGUGGGUAAUCCAUUCGGGUUUGGGUAAAACCCGUUUGGGUUUGAAUUUAAUGGGUAUUGAAUAUACUACCUAAUAAGAGUAAUUCUAAAUAUUCGGUUCUGCUCCGGAUCGGAUCCAAUCGGGUUCAGGUCGGGUUGGGUAAAAAGUUUCAGGUCCUAAAAAUAUCUAAAAUAAAUAGAAACGAGUAUUUUUUAUGUAGAUAGCGGGUACCCAAACAAAAAA
rnacentral:sRNA from 1 species